rnacentral:rRNA from 1 species
UGGGGAAUAUUGGACAAUGGGGGCAACCCUGAUCUAGCAAUGCCGCGUGUGUGAAGAAGGCCUGCGGGUUGUAAAGCACUUUCAGUAGAGAAGAAAAGCUUAGGGUUAAUACCCCUGAGUCUUGACGUUACGUACAGAAGAAGCACUGGCUAACUCCGUGCCGGCAGCCGCGGUAAUACCGAGGGUGCAAGCGUUAAUCGGAAUUACUGGGCAUAAAGCGCGCGUAGGUGGUUGUGUAAGUCGGAUGUGAAAGCCCAGGGCUUAACCUUGGAAUUGCUUCCGAUACUGCAUGACUAGAGUAUGGUAGAGGGAAGUGGAAUUUCCGGUGUAGCGGUGAAAUGCGUAGAUAUCGGAAGGAACACCAGUGGCGAAGGCGACUUCCUGGGCCAAUACUGACACUGAGGUGCGAAAGCGUGGGGAGCAAACAGGAUUAGAUACCCGCGUAGUCC